CUCUGCUGUAAGUAGAGUCAGCAGUGUUCAGUAUCGGACUGUCACUGUCAGACUUUCCUCCUUUCCUUGGUUCUGAUCUGUAGCUCAUUGUUUCAUUACCCUGCUGAAAAACCUACAAACUAUUACUCACCAAAAACACAGGGAAGUUCAAGAGGAAUACAUUGGACUCCAGAAGUAAGACAAGAGAUCAGAUGUGAGAAUAUGACAUCCAGAAGAAGCUCCAGAACUCACAAAACAUCCUCUUAUACUCCUACACACUGAUGUGUCUCACAUACAAGUGGAAGAAAAUGCAGACAAAGGGAAAAUCGCUGUUGUCUGCACUUUGGGAAGAGUUUUAGUCAACAGGGUAAUUUCACAAUACCUCAGCGCAUUGAUGCUGGAGAGAAACCGUAUCAGUGCUCAGAGUGUGGAAAGAGUUUUUCUCAACAGAUUCACCUCCAGCUACACCAACGUGUUCACACAGGAGAAAAAACAUAUCUCUGUUUAGAGUGCGGGAAGAGAUUUGCUCAAAAAGGUAAUCUCCAUCUACAUCAGCACAUUCACACAGGAGAGAAACCCUAUCAGUGCCUAGGGAUUUGGAAUGAGAUGUCAUAAAAGCUCCUGUAGAUGUCCCAAUACUUUUGUCCAUAUAGUGUAUUUAUGUUUAAAGCAGUUCUGGCUUGAUUAUGCCAGGAAACUAGUUCAUUUAAGGAAUUCAUUUUCACACAUUUAGGAAAGAAAGCUUAUGAUGGAAAGUCUAGACUUUGUGAAAUGCAGUUUAAAGGACUCACAGCAUGAGGAAAAUGUUUUCUGGUCUGAUGAGACUCAGAUUCAGAUUCCAAAAAUUGAGCUGCAUUCUAAGCGCUAGGUUUUUCAUGAUGGCUACAUCAUUCUCUAUGGGUGGUUUCAGAUGCAGAUAUUGGGAUACUGGACAGAAUUUAGAGAUGGUGAAUGCAGCCAAAUACAGAAAGGUUCUUGAAGAGGAAGGUUCUUCAGGAGAGUACAUACAACCUUGGACUGUGUCAUUAGUUCACUUUUCAGCAUGACAUCAGACCAGAGCAAGCAGCCAAAUGACUAAACAGCUACUGGAAAAGUGAGAAGUCUGAACUUCUGCAGAAGGGAGUUUACAGAUAGUCCGAAUCAAAUGUAACAGAGCCCGAGACUCUAGCACACUAAGUAAAAAACAUAAAUAAAAUUCUAAGGUAUAGUAAAAGGUCUUAGCUGGGAUUCAUCUUUAAAAUCUAUACAAAUAUCUGGAUAUUUUUAAUAUGUUUAAGGGAACCUUAGAAUUCAUUAGCUAAAAGUGAGGGCAGGAUUGACCUCAAUUUUAUAUAAUUUUAUUUAAAAUAAAAUCCAAAUAUUUAUUUAUUUCAUUAUUUUUUUGUACACAUUAAUUGUAGUGUUUUUCUGUCAGUUUCUAAACAUAAAAUGUAUACGCAAAAGUUGUUGGACAUUUUGUAUUUUGUUUCAAAAUGUGUUUAACUUGGCCAAUAAAUAGAAAUUGUGAUAGUUGUGAUAUAAACAUGUUUCUUAAUUCUUCACUUAGAUAAUCAAAAAAACACAUAAUAUGUCUGGGGUUGCUAAAACAUUUGAAUACAACUCUUGCUAUCCAAGUAAGUUAAAAUCUUGAGAUGAGUGAAACAUUCUCAGUAUUUGAACUAACACAAUUUUGAGAAAGUCUUUAUUUUGAGAUAUAGGUUCAAGCUUUUUACAUUUUUGACAUGUUAUAAACCUAUUAUUUAGCUGCCACAAUAUUUGAGUUAUAUUUAAAUUCAUGGGAUGACUUAGUAGAUGUCCAAGAAACCAAAAAUUGACCAUUAAUUAAAGGCAAAUCUCUUGACCACAUUGAGACACAAUGUCACCAAGAUUGAAAUUUUGACAAGAUGAAUAAGCCUAGCAUAACACAGAUGGGGAAUUAUUAAUUAUUUACAAAAAGACAUCUUUGAUUUAAUGUAUCUUCUCUUCAAAUGUAUUGGUUGUAAUGUUCAUUUAUAUUCUCCUUUUUAAAAUUGAAUUAUCUCUGUAUUUUCUCAUUUGUAAAGCACACUGAGUGGCCACAGCAUAUGAAACAUGCUCUAUAAAUAAACUUGCCUAAGUAUUAA